UACAGAGGUGGCAAGCGUUGUUCGGAAUUACUGGGCGUAAAGGGCUCGUAGGCGGCCAACUAAGUCAGACGUGAAAUCCCUCGGCUUAACCGGGGAACUGCGUCUGAUACUGGAUGGCUGGAGGUUGGGAGAGGGAUGCGGAAUUCCAGGUGUAGCGGUGAAAUGCGUAGAUAUCUGGAGGAACACCGGUGGCGAAGGCGGCAUCCUGGACCAAUUCUGACGCUGAGGAGCGAAAGCCAGGGGAGCAAACGGG
rnacentral:rRNA from 1 species